AGAUGCCGCCGGUGCAAGGAUCCUGUUCUGAAAGCCUUUGGAUGAAAAUCCAAUCAAUGCAGCUCCAAAUUCCAAGGACCUGUGAAAUUAGUUAGAAAUUGUAAUAAGGAAACUAGGAUUAAUGUCGCCACAUCUGCAGAAAUAAUAUCAUUGACCUGUCUGUGAAGACAAUGAUUUGAUAUAAUCGAUAAUCAGACUUCUAACACACGCACGCUCAUGGUUGAAUCA
rnacentral:lncRNA from 1 species